UGAUCAAAUGCAGCCUUGAGGAGCCCCCUUGGAGCCAAGGGGAGGAGCAGGUUGGCAAGAAGAGGGAUGCCCCAGGUCUGAAGGAGUGAGGCAGAAGAACAGGACCUGGAGGCAGGGAACCUAAGGAUGAUUCACACUCACUUCCUGGAACUGAAUCAAAAGGAAAAUCCCACCUCUCCACAGUCAAGUAACAAAAGGAUCAGAGGCUCCUCCCUUUGCAAAUUAUGUCCCCAACUCCCGCUUUCCACUGCAUUGCAGAUGAAACAUGGAA
rnacentral:antisense_RNA from 1 species